rnacentral:rRNA from 1 species
UACGUAGGGGGCAAGCGUUGUCCGGAAUUAUUGGGCGUAAAGAGCAUGUAGGCGGCCAGAUAAGUCCGCUGUGAAAUCUCGAGGCUCAACUUCGAGCUGUCGGUGGAAACUAUCUGGCUAGAGUCCGGAAGAGGAGAAUGGAAUUCCUGGUGUAGCGGUGAAAUGCGCAGAUAUCAGGAAGAACACCCGUGGCGAAGGCGGUUCUCUGGGACGGUACUGACGCUGAGACGCGAAAGCGUGGGGAGCGAACAGG